AUUGAACGCUGGCGGCAGGCCUAACACAUGCAAGUCGAGCGAGCGGCGGACGGUUGAGUAAUGUCUGGUAAACUGCCUGUUGGAGGGGGCUAACUACUGGAAACGCCAUCUAAUACCGUAUACCAUCAGAUUUGCCCUGAUGGGAUUAGCUAGUGGGUGGGGUAACGGCUCACCUAGGCGACGAUCCCUAGCUGGUCUGAGAGGAUGACCAGCCACACUGGGACUGAGACACGGUCCAGACUCCUACGGGAGGCAGCAGUGGGGAAUAUUGCACAAUGGGCGCAAGCCUGAUGCAGCCAUGCCGCGUGAGUGAAGAAGGCCUUCGGGUUGUAAAGCACUUUCAGCGGGGAGGCGUUACCCACAGAAGAAGCACCGGCUAACUCCGUGCCAGCAGCCGCGGUAAUUC
rnacentral:rRNA from 1 species